rnacentral:rRNA from 1 species
GAUGAACGCUGGCGGCGUGCCUAAUACAUGCAAGUCGAGCGAACAGACGAGGAGCUUGCUCCUCUGACGUUAGCGGCGGACGGGUGAGUAACACGUGGAUAACCUACCUAUAAGACUGGGAUAACUUCGGGAAACCGGAGCUAAUACCGGAUAAUAUAUUGAACCGCAUGGUUCAAUAGUGAAAGACGGUUUUGCUGUCACUUAUAGAUGGAUCCGCGCCGCAUUAGCUAGUUGGUAAGGUAACGGCUUACCAAGGCAACGAUGCGUAGCCGACCUGAGAGGGUGAUCGGCCACACUGGAACUGAGACACGGUCCAGACUCCUACGGGAGGCAGCAGUAGGGAAUCUUCCGCAAUGGGCGAAAGCUUGACGGAGCAACGCCGCGUGAGUGAUGAAGGUCUUCGGAUCGUAAAACUCUGUUAUUAGGGAAGAACAAAUGUGUAAGUAACUAUGCACGUCUUGACGGUACCUAAUCAGAAAGCCACCGCUAACUACGUG